AUACCAUGAUGAGGGCAUCUCUUGAGUAACUCCUUGAAUCUUUCUCAUGCAUCAUACAAGCUUUCAUUUUUAAGUUAAUGGAAAGAUGUGAUCUCAUUCUUUAACUUU
rfam:Citrus sinensis cultivar Ridge Pineapple sweet orange scaffold01716_contig_4, whole genome shotgun sequence.